rnacentral:rRNA from 1 species
GAUGAACGCUGGCGGCGUGCCUAAUACAUGCAAGUCGAGCGAACAGACGAGGAGCUUGCUCCUCUGACGUUAGCGGCGGACGGGUGAGUAACACGUGGAUAACCUACCUAUAAGACUGGGAUAACUUCGGGAAACCGGAGCUAAUACCGGAUAAUAUAUUGAACCGCAUGGUUCCAUAGUGAAAGACGGUUUUGCUGUCACUUAUAGAUGGAUCCGCGCCGCAGUAGCUAGUUGGUAAGGUAACGGCUUACCAAGGCAACGAUCCGUAGCCGACCUGAGAGGGUGAUCGGCCACACUGGAACUGAGACACGGUCCAGACUCCUACGGGAGGCAGCAGUAGGGAAUCUUCCGCAAUGGGCGAAAGCCUGACGGAGCAACGCCGCGUGAGUGAUGAAGGUCUUCGGAUCGUAAAGCUCUGUUAUUAGGGAAGAACAAAUGUGUAAGUAACUAUGCACGUCUUGACGGUACCUAAACAGAAAGCCACGGCUAACUACGUG